rnacentral:rRNA from 1 species
AUUGAACGCUGGCGGCAUGCCUUACACAUGCAAGUCGAACGGUAACAGGUCUUCGGAUGCUGACGAGUGGCGAACGGGUGAGUAAUACAUCGGAACGUGCCCGAUCGUGGGGGAUAACGAAGCGAAAGAGUGGCUAAUACCGCAUGAGAUCUAGGGAUGAAAGCAGGGGAUCGCAAGACCUUGUGCUACCAGAGCGGCCGAUAGCAGAUUAGGUAGUUGGUGGGAUAAAAGCUUACCAAGCCGACGAUCUGUAGCUGGUCUGAGAGGACGAUCAGCCACACUGGGACUGAGUCACGGCCCAGACUCCUACGGGAGGCAGCAGUGGGGAAUUUUGGACAAUGGGCGAAAGCCUGAUCCAGCAAUGCCGCGUGCAGGAUGAAGGCCUUCGGGUUAUAAACUGCUUUUGUACGGAACGAAAAGCCCCGGGUUAAUACCCUGGGGUCAUGACGGUACCGUAAGAAUAAGCACCGGCUAACUACGUGCCAGCAGCCGCCGUAA